UUAAGCGACUAAGCGUACACGGUGGAUGCCCUGGCAGUCAGAGGCGAUGAAGGACGUGCUAAUCUGCGAUAAGCGUCGGUAAGGUGAUAUGAACCGUUAUAACCGGCGAUUUCCGAAUGGGGAAACCCAGUGUGUUUCGUCACACUAUCAUUAACUGAAUCCAUAGGUUAAUGAGGCGAACCGGGGGAACUGAAACAUCUAAGUACCCCGAGGAAAAGAAAUCAACCGAGAUUCCCCCAGUAGCGGCGAGCGAACGGGGAGCAGCCCAGAGCCUGAAUCAGUGUGUGUGUUAGUGGAAGCGUCUGGAAAGGCGCGCGAUACAGGGUGACAGCCCCGUACACAAAAAUGCACAUACUGUGAGCUCGAUGAGUAGGGCGGGACACGUGGUAUCCUGUCUGAAUAUGGGGGGACCAUCCUCCAAGGCUAAAUACUCCUGACUGACCGAUAGUGAACCAGUACCGUGAGGGAAAGGCGAAAAGAACCCCGGCGAGGGGAGUGAAAAAGAACCUGAAACCGUGUACGUACAAGCAGUGGGAGCACAGAGCAAUCUGUGUGACUGCGUACCUUUUGUAUAAUGGGUCAGCGACUUAUAUUCUGUAGCAAGGUUAACCGAAUAGGGGAGCCGAAGGGAAACCGAGUCUUAACUGGGCGUUAAGUUGCAGGGUAUAGACCCGAAACCCGGUGAUCUAGCCAUGGGCAGGUUGAAGGUUGGGUAACACUAACUGGAGGACCGAACCGACUAAUGUUGAAAAAUUAGCGGAUGACUUGUGGCUGGGGGUGAAAGGCCAAUCAAACCGGGAGAUAGCUGGUUCUCCCCGAAAGCUAUUUAGGUAGCGCCUCGUGAAUUCAUCUCCGGGGGUAGAGCACUGUUUCGGCAAGGGGGUCAUCCCGACUUACCAACCCGAUGCAAACUACGAAUACCGGAGAAUGUUAUCACGGGAGACACACGGCGGGUGCUAACGUCCGUCGUGAAGAGGGAAACAACCCAGACCGCCAGCUAAGGUCCCAAAGUCAUGGUUAAGUGGGAAACGAUGUGGGAAGGCCCAGACAGCCAGGAUGUUGGCUUAGAAGCAGCCAUCAUUUAAAGAAAGCGUAAUAGCUCACUGGUCGAGUCGGCCUGCGCGGAAGAUGUAACGGGGCUAAACCAUGCACCGAAGCUGCGGCAGCGACGCUGAUGCGUUGUUGGGUAGGGGAGCGUUCUGUAAGCCUGCGAAGGUGUGCUGUGAGGCAUGCUGGAGGUAUCAGAAGUGCGAAUGCUGACAUAAGUAACGAUAAAGCGGGUGAAAAGCCCGCUCGCCGGAAGACCAAGGGUUCCUGUCCAACGUUAAUCGGGGCAGGGUGAGUCGACCCCUAAGGCGAGGCCGAAAGGCGUAGUCGAUGGGAAACAGGUUAAUAUUCCUGUACUUGGUGUUACUGCGAAGGGGGGACGGAGAAGGCUAUGUUGGCCGGGCGACGGUUGUCCCGGUUUAAGCGUGUAGGCUGGUUUUCCAGGCAAAUCCGGAAAAUCAAGGCUGAGGCGUGAUGACGAGGCACUACGGUGCUGAAGCAACAAAUGCCCUGCUUCCAGGAAAAGCCUCUAAGCAUCAGGUAACAUCAAAUCGUACCCCAAACCGACACAGGUGGUCAGGUAGAGAAUACCAAGGCGCUUGAGAGAACUCGGGUGAAGGAACUAGGCAAAAUGGUGCCGUAACUUCGGGAGAAGGCACGCUGAUAUGUAGGUGAAGUCCCUCGCGGAUGGAGCUGAAAUCAGUCGAAGAUACCAGCUGGCUGCAACUGUUUAUUAAAAACACAGCACUGUGCAAACACGAAAGUGGACGUAUACGGUGUGACGCCUGCCCGGUGCCGGAAGGUUAAUUGAUGGGGUUAGCGCAAGCGAAGCUCUUGAUCGAAGCCCCGGUAAACGGCGGCCGUAACUAUAACGGUCCUAAGGUAGCGAAAUUCCUUGUCGGGUAAGUUCCGACCUGCACGAAUGGCGUAAUGAUGGCCAGGCUGUCUCCACCCGAGACUCAGUGAAAUUGAACUCGCUGUGAAGAUGCAGUGUACCCGCGGCAAGACGGAAAGACCCC
rnacentral:rRNA from 1 species